rnacentral:rRNA from 1 species
AUGUUGCCGAUGUGGAGGAUGUGUCUGGCCGGCGCUCUAGGGGCAGAAAACGUCUACACCAUCCUCAUACUAAAAUGGAUCAAAGCAGCUGCGGAAGACGAAAUCCACGCGAACAUCACCUGCACGGAUAUUGACAGCAACAACCCCGUGCAGAUUGAUGAUCUCGCCUCCUCGCUUGCGCAGCUACACCUUGGCCCCUGCUACCCCUCCAUCGCCGUUUACCAGCCUAGGAGGAGACCGAGGAGUCGUACGAGGAGACAAACCAGCCGCCGUCGAAGAUCACCCUGUGGCCGCACCAGUGAAUCGAGCUGCCGGGGUAGCUGCUGGUGA